ACGUAGGGUGCGAGCGUUAAUCGGAAUUACUGGGCGUAAAGCGUGCGUAGGCGGUUCGCUAAGUCAGGUGUGAAAUCCCCGGGCUUAACCUGGGAAUGGCGCUUGUGACUGGCAGGCUGGAGUGCGGCAGAGGGGGGUGGAAUUCCAGGUGUAGCAGUGAAAUGCGUAGAGAUGAGGAGGAACACCGAUGGCGAAGGCGGCUGCCUGGGCCGAUACUGACGCUGAGGCACGAAAGCGUGGGGAGCAAACAG
rnacentral:rRNA from 1 species